rnacentral:misc_RNA from 1 species
AACAUCGCGCACCUGCGGGAACCUGCGGAAGGAUCAUUACAGAGUUGCAAAACUCCCUAAACCAUUGUGAACGUUACCUAAACCGUUGCUUCGGCGGGCGGCCCGGGUCCUUCCCGGCGCCCCUCGGCCCUCGCGGGCGCCCGCCGGAGGUAAACCAAACUAUUGCAUUGUAUGGCCUCUCUGAGCCUUCUGUACUGAAUAAGUCAAAACUUUUAACAACGGAUCUCAGAUCGGAAGAGC